rnacentral:rRNA from 1 species
GACGAACCGUGCGAACGUUGUUCGGAUUCACUGGGCUUAAAGGGCGCGUAGGCGGGCGAUCAAGUCAGGGGUGAAAUCUUUCGGCUCAACCGGAAAAGUGCCCCUGAUACUGAUUGUCUCGAGGGAGGUAGGGGCAUGUGGAACUUCCGGUGGAGCGGUGAAAUGCGUAGAUAUCAUGAGGAAUACCAGAGGCGAAGGCGGCUACCUGGACAAUUGCUGACGCUCAGGCACGAAAGCGUGGGGAGCAAAAGGG